UACGGAGGGUGCAAGCGUUAUCCGGAUUCACUGGGUUUAAAGGGUGCGUAGGUGGGCUAGUAAGUCCGUGGUGAAAUCUUCAAGCUUAACUUGGAAACUGCCAUUGAUACUAUAGGUCUUGAAUUAUCUGGAGGUGAGCGGAAUAUGUCAUGUAGCGGUGAAAUGCUUAGAUAUGACAUAGAACACCAAUUGCGAAGGCAGCUCACUACGGAUGUAUUGACACUGAGGCACGAAAGCGUGGGGAUCAAACAGG
rnacentral:rRNA from 1 species